rnacentral:rRNA from 1 species
UACGUAGGGAGCAAGCGUUGUCCGGAUUUAUUGGGCGUAAAGAGCUCGUAGGCGGCUUAGCAAGUCAGGUGUGAAAGCCCGGGGCUCAACCCCGGAGGGUCGGCUGAUACUGCAGGACUGGAGUACGGAAGAGGUAGCUGGAAUUCCCGGUGUAGCGGUGAAAUGCGUAGAGAUCGUAAGGAAGACCAGUGGCGAAGGCGGGUCUCUGGACCAGUUCCUGACAUCUGAGGCACG